rnacentral:lncRNA from 1 species
CACCGCAAUGCGUCUGCAGGGGCUCGAACCACUUCCCUCACAAUUGUGAGGGAGUGGUUCUAACCACUCAAUUUACAUAGUUUUUUUUUUUUUUGAAAAGCUCAAUUUACAUAGUUUUUUUUUUUUUUUGAUUACAUGAGACUAUUGCUCAAAUUACAACUCAUAUUACAUGAGAAUAUAACUGAUAUUUACAAAUCAGACUAUAACUGGGACCAACAUACAUCAAUACUAAUGGAGCGCUGCCCAGAUUUUAACCCUCUCAAAUAUUCGAGGGAUGUCUACUCCUCACACUUAGAUAAGAAAGCAGACUGCCUUCACUCAAAUUUACUUGAGGAAGGAAAACUCCCACAAUGCAUUGUGGGGAUUCGAGCUGCUGCUCUCCAAGUUGGAGAGCAGCAGCUCUCACCACUCGGCCAAAGGCCGAG